rnacentral:rRNA from 1 species
UGGGGAAUAUUGCGCAAUGGGGGGAACCCUGACGCAGCCAUGCCGCGUGAAUGAAGAAGGCCUUCGGGUUGUAAAGUUCUUUCGGUAUUGAGGAAGGUUGAUGUGUUAAUAGCACAUCAAAUUGACGUUAAAUACAGAAGAAGCACCGGCUAACUCCGUGCCAGCAGCCGCGGUAAUACGGAGGGUGCGAGCGUUAAUCGGAAUAACUGGGCGUAAAGGGCACGCAGGCGGUUAUUUAAGUGAGGUGUGAAAGCCCCGGGCUUAACCUGGGAAUUGCAUUCCAAACGGGUAACUUAAAUAAUUUAAGGAAGGGGAAAAAUUCCCCUGGAACGGUGAAAUGGCUAAAAAAGGGGAAGAAUAACCAAAGGCAANGGCGCCCCCUGGGAAAGGACCGGCNCUUCNGGUGCAAAGCCUGGGGGAGNAANCNGGAUAAAAUACCCGGUUNGCCNNNNUGGAAACNNUGGCNAAUUUGGGGUUGGGGGUUAACUUCUGGNGCCCGNAGCUAANNNGNNAAUCCGACNGCCUGGGGAAGUACGNCGCNGNUA